rnacentral:rRNA from 2 species
UUAAGCAUAUCAAUAAGCGGAGGAAAAGAAACCAACAGGGAUUGCCUCAGUAACGGCGAGUGAAGCGGCAACAGCUCAAAUUUGAAAUCUGGCUUCGGCCCGAGUUGUAAUUUGUAGAGGAAGCUUUUGGUGAAGCACCGACCGAGUCCCCUGGAACGGGGCGCCAUAGAGGGUGAGAGCCCCGUAUGGUCGGAUGCCGAUCCUCUGUAAAGCUCCUUCGACGAGUCGAGUAGUUUGGGAAUGCUGCUCAAAAUGGGAGGUAAAUUUCUUCUAAAGCUAAAUAUUGGCCAGAGACCGAUAGCGCACAAGUAGAGUGAUCGAAAGAUGAAAAGCACUUUGAAAAGAGGGUUAAAUAGCACGUGAAAUUGUUGAAAGGGAAGCGCUUGUGACCAGACUUGCGCCCCGUCGAUCAUCCGGGGUUCUCCCCGGUGCACUCGGCGGGGCUCAGGCCAGCAUCGGUUUUCGCGGGGGGACAAAGGUCCCGGGAACGUAGCUCCUCCGGGAGUGUUAUAGCCCGGGGCGUAAUGCCCUCGCGGGGACCGAGGACCGCGCUUCGGCAAGGAUGCUGGCGUAAUGGUCAUCAGCGACCCGUCUUGAAACACGGACCAAGGAGUCAAGGUUUUGCGCGAGUGUUUGGGUGUAAAACCCGCACGCGUAAUGAAAGUGAACGUAGGUGAGAGCUUCGGCGCAUCAUCGACCGAUCCUGAUGUAUUCGGAUGGAUUUGAGUAGGAGCGUUAAGCCUUGGACCCGAAAGAUGGUGAACUAUGCUUGGAUAGGGUGAAGCCAGAGGAAACUCUGGUGGAGGCUCGCAGCGGUUCUGACGUGCAAAUCGAUCGUCAAAUCUGAGCAUGGGGGCGAAAGACUAAUCGAACCAUCUAGUAGCUGGUUACCGCCGAAGUUUCCCUCAGGAUAGCAGUGUUGUUCUUCAGUUUUAUGAGGUAAAGCGAAUGAUUAGGGACUCGGGGGCGCUUUUUAGCCUUCAUCCAUUCUCAAACUUUAAAUAUGUAAGAAGCCCUUGUUACUUAAUUGAACGUGGGCAUUCGAAUGUACCAACACUAGUGGGCCAUUUUUGGUAAGCAGAACUGGCGAUGCGGGAUGAACCGAACGCGGGGUUAAGGUGCCGGAGUGGACGCUCAUCAGACACCACAAAAGGCGUUAGUACAUCUUGACAGCAGGACGGUGGCCAUGGAAGUCGGAAUCCGCUAAGGACUGUGUAACAACUCACCUGCCGAAUGUACUAGCCCUGAAAAUGGAUGGCGCUCAAGCGUCCCACCCAUACCCCGCCCUCAGGGUAGAAACGAUGCCCUGAGGAGUAGGCGGCCGUGGAGGUCAGUGACGAAGCCUAGGGCGUGAGCCCGGGUCGAACGGCCUCUAGUGCAGAUCUG